rnacentral:lncRNA from 1 species
GGUAAUAUUGAUGUGCUUACCGGAAAGAAAGGAGAAAUUAGAAAACAAUGCAAUUUUAUUAACAAGAAAUCUUCUGAAUUGGAUCUUGGCAUUGUGGCCUCUGCAGAAUCAAUGGAAGGGGAUAUGGUUAGUUCAAUCUAAAUGAAUGUGGGUUACUUUAGAUGAAAUGUGGUGAUUGGAAUUCACUAAUAAAGAGAAGUGCUGGCUAAGCACAUUUGUGUCAUGAGGUAUACUGUAUUUUACGUGUUUUAUGUGUGUAAGAUAACCUUCUUUCAAUGUAAUUUUCAUUAUAAAAUCCUUUCUUUCUGUCACAAGCUCUUUCUGUGUUUUUUUUAACAACAAAGAGAAAAUUAUUAUAACAAAGAUGAAUAAGUACAACUACAAGUAGUACUAAAUGAAAAUUUAGAAAUGAAGUACAAAAUAUACUUCACUCUUAUAUUUUGAUAAAACCACUUAUGUACUUAAAUAUGAACUACAAUUAUUGAAAGUUGAAUUUUGAUGCCUAAAACUAAUUCUUGAUUUUUUUUUGACAAGAAAAAUAAUUCUUGAUUAUUGAAACAUUCAUUAGGUAUUAAGCAUUUUCAAUACAUUAUAACUACACCGCCAAAAUAAAAUACAUUAUGAAUGUUCAUAAGAUCCGUGCGGCGCACAGGUCAGCGAUCUAAUAGUAACUUCUAAAAACCAACAAGUUGAGAAGCAAAAUCAAAAUACCCUAAUCCAUAAAAUGAAAAUUUCACGAAGGUAGUGACAAACCUGAUAUUAAAUAACCUUGAUGGAAAAAAAAAAAUUGUUAUACACAACUAAUAGAUUAUUUAGGGCUAGCUGGUUAAAAUAGUAUAGGGAGGGGGUGAAAUAUACACAACUAAUAUAAUUGUACUUGUCUUAAGAGUCUAUUUAGACCCUCUAUUUCUUGCUACCCGGUAAUUGAGUCUAGUUAAUACAAAUGUUUAAUAUUACGAUAAAUUAACAAAAGAGUAAAGAACAAUGAAUCAAUGCGGUAUUAGUACCAAUCCUAAACUAAGAAAAUAUAUAAUUUCAAUGAGCCUUAAGACUCAACAAAAAGAAAGAAAGAAAGAAAGAAAAGAACAAAUAGCUACUGUCAAAUUGAGUAUGUGCAUAUUAUUUCAACAACUUCAUUAUCGAUAGAAAGCAAAACUAUAUUUUACAAUAUUUUUGGUAGUACCGUCAAAGAAGCAAUAUCUUUUGAAGUCUAACUUUAUAGAUCAGUCUGCCACCUAUUAUGUUAUCAGUAUAAAAAAGUUGAAAUAGCCUUGUAAUUGACACCAUAUUUUGUCCUCCUUAAUUCUUAGAAGAUUUAACAAAUAUAUUUUUUUUAAUCGGCAAAAAAACAAAAAUUAGCAUAAGAUAGUAUAAUCUACGUUCUAGUUAAAUAUAUAUGCAAUGUAUAAUUGACAAUAAAAUAAUUGAAUUAUGAAUUUUCACCUACGAAAAAUGACAUUUAAUGAUGGAUUUUGUUCGUAGGUACAAAUUUUUUUUCUUCCUUUUCUUUUUCUCUAACUUUUGAGGCCCUUUUAUGUUUGUGGCCCAGUGCCAAGGGCUUUGAUGCACACAGUCAAUCCAAAAAUUGGUGUGGUGCGGUAGUGGAGUGCCUAACAGCCGCUAUAUUUUGGUGGCACAACUGCAAAUACAUUUAAUACUAAAAUACCCCAAAUAUUAAAAUACCUUAAACAUUAUCAAAUGACUAACCUUCAAUGACCAACCUUGCGGAAACCCAAUGCAAAUGAUACUUUCAACCAUGAUAACCUUCAAGUUGGACAUGUGCAUAAUAAAUCAAUAUUGAAAAUAUUAAUGCACCAAAUUUAGUAAUAAUUAUGCAUAUUUCAAAAUUUAUUUUUAUUACUUCAACCAUUUUUCUUAGUAUCUGUGCAUUUUUGUAAAGCACUCGUAUAAAAUAUAAAAAUGGACAGAGGAUUAUUUGUUUAGAGAAGGCACGCCACAUGUAAAAUUGGAAGGAAAACAUUACUUUCAAUUAGAUUUUAUGAUCUAUUCCGGGAAAAAAAGUUUAAGAUGAAAAAGACAACAACUAUUUAUAUUAAAGCAGUUUUAUGACAGUUUACUUUCAAUAUUGUUUUCUAUUUUAAUUUUACUACAACUAAUAAAUAUAAGAGAAUAUUUAAUCGAAUAUACUCUUUACCAUUUUCUUUAACAAUUUUUUCAAGUUUAUCUUCCCAAUUUUAUUACAAUUGCCACAUGAAUCUUCCAACCCAUUGUUAAUAAUUUAAAAUGUUUAUCCAAAAGUGUUCAUAUGAGAUGACGCGUAUUUCUUCUAACUUAACUAAUAUACUGGUUCUAAUUCGAUAUUAGACAUACAACAACGUUAAAACUUUUAAGGAGAGUUUGUUACCAUUUCGUCAAACUUUAAAAUAAUUACUAUUAUAUAAGGUACAAAGUUUUUCCAAUAAAAAUUUCAAAAUAAAAAUCAUACAUGAACUUGUUUGGGAGGCUGCUGAAUCAAAGAGUAAGCCAAGUUGAAUAAAUUAAUAAGUGUGGAAGUGACAAACGAGAAAAGCCAAUGCUAAAAAUAAAAAAUGAGAGGGGGCAGAAAAAUAAAAUAUCUAUCUAUAUAUAGACUAAACACAACUUCGAAAUCACACACAAAUUAUAUAUAAUUUAAUGCAACACGUACCAUUUGUAGAAUAUAACAUCUGUCCAAAUUUUAUACAAUAAUAAUAAGGUCAUGUUGACUUGUGUUUUAAGGAUAUAAGUUAAGAAGUUAAAAAAGGAAUAAAUCAAUAAAUAAACAAGUUAAAAAGAUAAAAUUUAAAGCAUUUAAAAUUUUAUUUUUAUUUUUAGUUUCUUAACUUGUGCUUUUAGAGCACAAGUUAAUAUUCCCCUAUAAUAAUAGGAGUUAGUAAUAACAACUCCACAAAGAUUCUGUCAAACAAAACAACAGGGUAGUUAACAACGUAAAUGCCGGGAAAAUUAAGACUAUAGAACUAAUCCUGGUCGAGACACGUGAGCCCAUGUUCGGUUCAGCAAGACAUUUGACUAUUUUAUUUGACAAUAGUCAUGUGUUUUUGUUAGAGGACAAUAUAGUCAUAAUAAUACAUCAUUUUAAGGAGAUAUUGAUUUAUAUACUAAAACUUAUUUUCAUAUGUGUUCAAUUAAGUCAUGUAAAUAUUUUAAAAACUGAGCUAAAAAGAUGGCAUCAUGAUUUGAUUUGUAUAAAUGUACAUGUGUAAAAUAGAAUUACUAGGUUCUGUUUGGUUUGCAAAACAGUAAGUACUAAACAUAAUUGUACAAGACAGAACAACACAACACAAGACAGAACAAUAUAAGAAAAAUUUUUAUGGCAUUGAAUAAUUUUUCGUUUUAUACGAUUGUUAGCGGACGAAAUACUAUUUUGGAAUUUUAGACAACUUGUGCGUGGGACAAAAAGUUGUGAUGUGGUUUGGUGAGGAACAAAAAUAUGAUUUUUUGUCCUGUCCCUUGCCUCCAGUUUGUCCUGUAACUGAACAGUUUACAAAUCAAACAUUGGACAAUUGGAGUUGUUUUGUCCUGUCCUUCAUUUUUUAGCAAAUCAAACACACCCUCAAUGUAUAAAAGUUUCAAGUUAUUGAAGCGUACACAUAUAAAACUAUAUAUUGUAUAAUUAUUUUAAUAAUAUUAAUAAUGAUAAUAAAAAAAAUAGUUUUUUCUUUUCUACUUUUUUUAUUUGUGUGUGUGAAUGGAUUUUCGGUUGUUAUUACAUGACAUUGUAAUCGAUAUAUAGGGUUAAUGGUGUUUUACCCCCUGUAAUAUAGGUUAUUUUUUGUUUUUCCCCUGUAAAAUAUUUUUUUUUAUUUACCCCCUGUAAAAUAUUUUUUUUUUUAAAUACCCCCUAAUAGGUCAUAAAAAAACGACUUUAUUUUUUUUCCAGAAUUUUUUCGCUUUUUUAUGACCUAUUAAGGGGGUAUUCCAAAAAAUAUAUAUUUUACAGGGGGUAAAUCAAAAAAAAUAUUUUACAGAAGGAAAAACUAAAAAUGACCUAUAUUACAGAGGGGUAAAACACCAUUAACCCUAGAUAUGUACCUUCUUAUUGUAAAUAAGGCAAGACCGUUUUAAUGCGUAAAACUGAAUUUAAAAUUUAAAUCACCCACUCUGAAUUAUUUUAAAGACCUUUAAUCAAUGAUAUGAGAUAAACUCCGAAACUAUAUGUGAAAAUGCUAAAACAGGGAAAUAGAGGAUAACCAUGUGUAGACUAAAUAACUUAAAUUUAGAGUGUGACUACACAAACAUUGACCUCGGUGUAAAUACAAUCUAAGCAAUAGUUAUUGGAUUUUACGGGGUCCACACAAUACAACAUCAUUGACCAAAACACCAAUACUCCUUUGUUUUAGUUUUGUACACUUCAUCAUCAAGAAAUAAAGUGUGAUGGCGGUUGAGAUACGACCGUCAGAGUGGUGAUCGAUGGUGAUCAGAGUGGUGAUCGCAAUGAUGAAUAGAAUAGUAAUCUGAUGAUAGUUGGAAUGGUGACAGUGGUAGUCAAAGUGAUAGUCAAUGGUGAUCAGACUUGUAAUUUGAAGUUGAUUAAACGGUAGUUGGUGGCGGUUAGAGUGGUAAUCAUAAUGGUUAAUCAUGUGGUAGUGAAAUUGGAGAUUGAGAGUGGUUGAAGUGGUGGUCGGAAGUGCUCGAAGUGAUGGUUGGUGGUGAUCAAACUGGUGUUUGGCAGUGAUUAGAGUAGUUGUCGGAAACCAUUAGCGGUCACCCAUGUUAGACUCCAAAUAAAAAUGAAAAUUAUAACAUUUAUUUUUAUUUUUAUUAUUUUGAUAUUUAAGUGAAAUUAGGACUGGCCCUGGCCAAUUGCAACCAACCCUGCAACCAACCCGGCACAUGGCCUCACACUUAGAGGAGUCUCAAAAUGUUUAGAAAAAAAAAAUGUACCUACGGAUAAAAUCCGUCACUAAAUGUCAUUUUUUUCGUAGCUAAAAGUUUGGAAGACAACAAUUUUGCUGUGAAUUAUGAAUUGUACAUAAGUAAAGGUCUAUUUAUCCGUAGGUAAAAGUUUGGAAGACAACAAUUUUCCUGUCAAUUUUAAAUUGCCAUAAGUAAAUGUCUAUUUAUCUGUAGGUAAAAGUCAUGUUUGAACUAUUCCUUAUAUAUUUAAUAAUAAUUUGAUUGUUUAUCACCAUCAAUAGUGUUGGAUUUUUUUUCAAUUCUUAUAAAAUAAAAAUUGUCAAGUUUAUGACCGGACCUUCGAAUUGUCGGAACAGUCCUAAGUGAAAAUAUUUUCAAAUAAAGUAAGAAAUUAUUUUAACAUCAUUUUACACGAACGUGUUUGUUUUUCAAUUUAACUUUUAAAAUAAAAACUUACGACCAUCAUGAAUGGUCCCUAAUGUUUUACAAUGGAGAGAUACAAAAACGUUUUGUUAUCACCGAAGAGUUAAACUCUGUUUGUAAAAAAAACAAAAAACUCUUUUUGUCAAAGCCAAUUUUCGAAUUUAACAAAUACUUUAUAAAUUUAUAUGACCAAAAUAGACUUGUCUGUUAAUUAGUUUUUUUUAACGAGCCAAAGUCAUUUUUUACUAGGUUACAAAGUUGUUUGAUACACUUCUUCAAGUAGCAUUUGAACUUAUAAUUAAAAAGGUAAUUGUUUCAUAAAACCAUAUUUUUAUAUCAUUUGAUAUUUAUUUAGUUUAACCGUUAACUUUACCGUAUGAUAUAUGAUAUGUAUAAAUUCAAUCUACUACAUUAUUAGCCAUAUGCUAAUUCGCUAUCUGACUACCAAGCAUUUUUUUUUUUUAUCACUUUAUAGAUAAUUUGAAUGGAUAUUUAAAGUUACUUUGUUCAAUUAAUUUCUUUCGACUGCAACACUAUACAUAUACAACAGUAUAUGCUUUGAAAUCCUAAUCACUAAAGUCAUAAAAGAAAAAGUAGAUAAAUUUAGAGGGUUUGAAUUCAGAGUACUAUAAUAAUUAAGUGACGACAAUUUUCACUGGCCAGUAACACACAUCACCUUAAAUUGGUAUAUAUAAUAAUGCGAUUUAUAUAUUAUAUUUUUGAAGACUUGACAAAGUUUUCAGAUCAGAAAAAUAAUUACUAAAUUUACAAGUGUAUCUUAAAUAUUGAUGUAUAUUCUUAUGAAAUGUCACUCAUGGCAACCACAAGCCACCACCUAUAGUCAUGUUAUGGCCUAUAAAUAAAGGCACAUUUUCUUCCUAGCAAAGCACAUCAACUUCAAACACAUAGCUCUAAAAAUGAAUUCCCUUAGUCUCAUAGCAACAGCUCUAUGCUGUGUAGUUGUUGUGUUUGGAGGACUACCCUUCUCUUCAAAUGCACAGCUUAGUCCAGACUUUUACGCCAAAACAUGUCCCCAAUUGCAAUCUAUUGUGUUUCAAAUCUUAGAGAAGGUUUCUAAGACUGAUUCUCGAAUGCCUGCGAGUAUCAUUAGGCUUCACUUUCAUGAUUGUUUCGUUCAAGUAUGUAUACCUAUUAUUAUUCAGUCUUAGAAACCAAGUUAUUGUUUUUCACUUUGUGUUUAUGAUAAUGAAAAAUAAUCAGUAGUUCAUAGAGUUAACAUUUUCUCCUUAAUUUAAGCAAAAUGACUUAAUAUGACGAUUUAUGAUUGAAUCAGGGUUGUGAUGCAUCAGUUUUGUUGAAUAAAACUUCUACUAUUGCGAGUGAACAAGAUGCUGGUCCAAAUAUAAACUCCUUAAGAAGAUUGGAUGUUAUCAAUCAGAUUAAAACUGAGGUGGAAAAAGUUUGUCCUAAUAAAGUUUCUUGUGCUGAUAUUCUCACACUUGCAGCUGGAGUAUCUUCAGUUCUGGUAAAUAUGUUAAAACCCAAUUAUGUUUUAGUAAUUUUACAUAAUAUCAUAAUAACAUAAUAAUGGUUGAAUCAACUUCUUUUAUUUAUUUAUUUAUUGUAUUCACAGAGUGGGGGUCCAGGUUGGAUCGUUCCAUUGGGAAGAAGGGAUAGUCUAACAGCAAAUCAAUCCCUUGCCAAUAGAAAUCUUCCAGGUCCCAGCUCCAGUCUAGAUCAACUUAAAUCUUCCUUUGCUGCUCAAGGACUCAACACGGUUGAUCUAGUAGCACUCUCAGGUAUGCAAAUACAUGCACCAUUUCCUAAAUAAUAAUAAUAAUAUAAUUUUCUAUCAAACCAUGAUAUUUAGAUAAGAUGAUAUGAGCCUCCUUAAUUUUAAAUUUGAAUUUAAUCAUGUACCAUAGUGAUAUUAAAAUUUAUCGCGACUUUAGAUUUCACAUGACUCGGAUAAAAAAAAAAAAAAAAAAGGACAAACUGCAUCCAUUAACACUCAAAUAAGUAUUUUUAAAAGUAAUUAAAUCUUGAUGAGGAAUUGUUUGAACUAGGAUUCAAACUCGAAUUCUUCCAAAAAAAAUGUGUAUCUUACUAGAUCUUAUUAAUCCCUAGAGCUAUAUAGCACAUGAUGUAGGAGUAUAUGAUUUACUUGAAUGGUUCAAUUUCAGGUGCCCAUACAUUAGGAAGAGCACGUUGUCUUUUCAUACUUGAUCGAUUAUACGACUUCGACAAUACUGGCAAACCUGAUCCAACUCUUGACCCAACAUACUUAAAACAGUUGCAAAAACAAUGUCCUCAAAAUGGACCUGGAAAUAACGUUGUCAAUUUUGAUCCAACAACUCCCGAUAAAUUCGACAAGAACUACUACAACAAUCUUCAAGGUAAAAAGGGUUUGCUUCAAAGUGACCAAGAAUUGUUCUCAACACCGGGUGCAGAUACCAUUAGCAUUGUCAACAACUUUGGAAACAACCAAAAUGUUUUCUUCCAGAACUUUAUAAAUUCAAUGAUUAAAAUGGGUAAUAUUGGCGUGCUUACUGGAAAGAAAGGAGAAAUUAGAAAGCAGUGCAAUUUUGUUAACAAGAAAUCUUCUGAAUUGGAUCUUGCUAGUGUGACCUCAGAAUCAAUGGAGGGGGAUAUGGUUAGUUCAAUCUAAAUGAAUGUGGGUUACUUUAGUUGAAAUGCAUGUGGUGAUUGGAAUUCACUAAUAAAGAAAAGUGCUAGCUAGGCACAUCUGUGCCUUGAUGUGUAUGUUAUGUGCUUUAUGUGUGCAAGAUAAU